rnacentral:rRNA from 1 species
GUUCAGAACGUCGUGAGACAGUUCGGUCCCUAUCCGUCGUGGGCGUAGGAAAUUUGAGAGGAGCUGUCCUUAGUACGAGAGGACCGGGAUGGACGCACCGCUGGUGUACCAGUUGUCUUGCCAAAGGCAUCGCUGGGUAGCUAUGUGCGGACGGGAUAAGCGCUGAAAGCAUCUAAGUGCGAAGCCCCCCUCAAGAUGAGAUUUCCCAUUUCUUCAAGAAAGUAAGACACCUCAGAGACGAUGAGGUAGAUAGGCCGGGAGUGGAAGAGCCGUGAGGCUUGGAGCGGACCGGUACUAAUCAGUCGAGGACUUGACCAAAA